UGGGAGGCCUGGGCGGCCGCUCCGCGUGGCCCGCGAGGGUCGGCGCGGGGAGGAAAGUCCGGGCUCCUCGGGUCAGGGUGGUUGCUAACGACAACCGGCCGCGAGGCCAGGGAAAGUGCCACAGAAAGCAAACCGCCUCCCGCGCGAGCGGGCGGUAAGGGUGAAAGGGUGCGGUAAGAGCGCACCGCGGUCCUGGUGACAGGGCUGGCAGGGUAAACCCCACCCGGAGAAAGACCAAAUAGGGAGGGCAUGGCGACGACCCGCGCCGAGGCCCUCCGGGUAGGUCGUUCGAGGCCGGGGGCGACUCCGGUCCCAGAGAAAUGGUCGCCUCCCCCUGUUGAGGGGGUACAGAACCCGGCUUACAGGGCCUGCCACGUC
rnacentral:RNase_P_RNA from 1 species